ACCAAAAGGAAUAGAUCGGAAACAAACAUAUGCUUAUCGCUACUGUCAGUACAAUAUAACUUAUUGUUUUAUUUAUUAAUUAAUAUGAGCUAAAAGUUUCGUAAUAAGUUGAUUGCCAUUGUAUAAGAUAUACAAAGUUUUAUGUUUACGGGUUUGACUAAGUAGUACACUCUCUUUUGAAAGGUUAAAAAUGACUAAAAUCCUCUUACAAAAAAAUUUUUCUAAGUACUAUUUUGCCUUGCAUGCUAUUGAAAUUGAUUUACAAGUGUCGUGGAAGGGUUUUUGAACAAAUGAUGGUUCUUGUCAGAUACUAAUAGUGUACAAAUUUAUCAUAUAACAUACUCGCUUUCAUUUCAAAAAUAGAUCAUUCCUAGGUGUUGGCAUGUAUUUUGAAAACGCUUUCUGUUGAAAUUCGAAAUAGCCUUUUCCCCACAAUGAAAGUAGUGCUGUACAAUUUUGGUUGCGGUCUUAGGAUUUUUAAGAUAUGUUUAUCCAUUGCACCAACUGUAAAUAUGGAGAAACAUAAGUAUGCAGCUCUUGGAGCAUGUCUAUCGUCAUCUUCCAAUUUAUAGCAAAAUUGGGUGUAUCAAUUACUUCUGCAAUCCUGUAUCUUGUGUAUCCGUACAUCUAAACCGCAAACUUGGAAUAUUCA